rnacentral:rRNA from 1 species
AUUGAACGCUGGCGGCAGGCCUAACACAUGCAAGUCGAGCGGAGCGGCGGACGGGUGGGUGAGUCCUAUGAGUGUGCCUGGUAGUUGGGGGGAACGAACGGAAACGGACGCUAAUACCGCAUACUAUCAGCUGAGCCAAGGUCGGAGUGGCUAGUUGGUGGGUGAAAGGCCUACCAAGGCGAGGAUCCGUAACUGGUCUGAGAGGAUGAUCAGUCACACUGGAACUGAGACACGGUCCAGACUCCUACGGGAGGCAGCAGUGGGGAAUAUUGGACAAUGGGCGCAAGCCUGAUCCAGCCAUGCCGCGUGUGGGAAGAAGGUCUUCGGGUUGUAAAGUACUUUCAGUUGGGAGGCGUUACCAACAGAAUAAGCACCGGCUAACUCCGUGCCAGCAGCCGCGGUAAUUC